rnacentral:misc_RNA from 1 species
AACGCACCUUGCGCUCCUUGGUAUUCCGAGGAGCAUGCCUGUUUGAGUGUCAGUAGAUUAAUCAACCCUUUGUUUUAUUUUUCCUUUAUUAUUAAAUAUAGGAAAGGAAGGUGGUUGGAUUUUGGGAGUUGAGUUAUAUUGCAGGCUGAUAUUGUAUAUUACUUUUUAGUAUGCAAUGGUUUGCUCUCCUAAAAUGUAUUUUGCAGAACUUUAAUGGUUAAUUUGGCUAUUAUCGUUUAUUUUAAAUAUGGUGUGAUAAGUAUCUACACUAUAUUGACUAAACGAGUCAUACAUAUAUAUGUUAAAGUUCAGCAAUGGCAUUAUAUGAUAUUUUGAGUAUUUGACCUCAAAUCAGGUAGGAUUACCCGCUGAACUUAA